CCUCAGCAGCCCCAGGGUGCACCCCUGCCUUCGCUUAUGGGGCCCUGGCCCCAGCCUCCGCCGAGACCGUCAUCUCCCAUACCCUGCUCCAGCGCAGCCCCGACCUAGUCCCCUGGCCCCCGGGUGUCUUGGUGCCGCCUCCCCGAUGGCUGUCCAUCUGGCCCCAGGCAGAACGGGGCCACUUUGUCCUCCCAGUACGGGCCCUGCUGCAUGGGGGGCUCUGCACUCGAAGCCUGCACCACCCGCUCUCGCGGAGCUGGAUUCCUCCCUAGAGCCUCUCCUGGCCCGACGGGUUUCUCGGGGACAAGGAUGUCCCCGGCGUUCCUUAUGCCUCGCUCCGACCUGUGGGCCAGGGUGGAGCAGAGGGUCCUUCGGGGAGGAAGGAGGUCCCGGGCGCAAUGCCCUCUCCCCGGCAGAGCUGGGUGGGCGGAGUGGGGGCCGCCAUGCCGCCAUCCUCAGAGCCCACCGUGUCCUCUGCCCCUUGCCCAGCGUCGUGACUCUGCAGGACCUGAGCGUCCAGCUGGGAGAGUCUGUCCUGUACACGCAUCCCCGGGACUCCGUCUCCGCGGCGGUCAUCAGAGUCAUCCAGCACCCCUCCUUCAACGGGGAUGCACUCCAGGGUGGCAACGUGGCCCUGGUGAAGCUGGCGCGCCCCGUGGCCUUCUCCCGCACCACCAGACCCAUCCCUCUGGCUCCACCGGGCUCCUACUUCCCCGCAGGCACCCUCUGCUGGGUGACCGGCUGGGGGGGACUUCAGGCAGAAUGAGGCCCUGCUGGAGCCCCACAGGCUGCAGGAGGUGGAUGUGCGCACCGUGGGUCUGGAGAGCUGCCGCAGGCUCUACUACCCAGAGCCCAUCGCCGCCGACAUGCUCUACGCCGGCUCCUCCCGGGGCCAGAAGGGAUUCUGCGAGGGCGACUCUGGGGGCCCGCUGGUCUGCCAGCUGUGGGGCAGGCGCUGGGUGCAGGCAGCGGUGGUGAGCUUCAGCCGCGGGUGUGCCGAGCCCGGAUUCCCGGGGGUCUACGUCAGGGUCUCUGCCUACUGGACCUGGAUCCAGCGCCACCUGCUCCCGCGGGGGAGCCAGAAUCGGGGGAAUCGCAGGGGCUGACCCCUGCCCUCGCCCUCUGCCCUGCUGACCUCGCUCCUCCACUCCCCCACCGCCCACCCCACUCUGUGCCUCCUGCCCCCACCCCCAUGGGGCCAGAGGCACCCUGGAGCCCAAGUCCCGGCUUCUGUGGAGAGAACAGGAAGGAAGGCUGGCACUCGGCCUUGUGCCGCUUAAAGAGCUGGGGCAGGGUGGAAGCACACGUGGGGGGGGAAGCCAGGGGCUGCCAGCACCCACCUGCAAGGAAUAAAUGCUCCGUAAGCUGCUCUUCUGGCAGGUUCUUUCCAACCGUUGCUGGGGGGUUGGGGGGAGGAGCAGGACCCACAUCUACCCCAGGCACAGGCCCCAGGAGUGCACUGCGUGUUGGCGGUCCUCUGGGGGUAGGUGUGUUGGCGGUCCUCUGGGGGUAGGUGUGUGCAGGAGUGUGCAAGUGUGGGCAGG